AAUUUCAUCUAAAGCUAAAUAUUGGCCAGAGACCGAUAGCGCACAAGUAGAGUGAUCGAAAGAUGAAAAGCACUUUGAAAAGAGAGUUAAACAGUAUGUGAAAUUGUUGAAAGGGAAGCGCUUACAACCAGACUUGAGCGCGACGGUUCCCCCUUCCUUUUGGUUGGGCUAUUCCGUCGUGUCCAGGCCAACAUCGGUUUUGGGGGUCGGUUAAAGACGCCGGGAAUGUACCUACCCUUCGGGCGUAGACUUAUAGCCCGGCGUGUCAUGCGACCUCCCGGGACCGAGGAACGCGCUUCGGCUCGGAUGUUGGCGUAAUGGUUGUCAGCGA
rnacentral:rRNA from 1 species